rnacentral:sRNA from 1 species
CAGCCCACACCUUUGAGUCCUGGCACAGCCUGGCCCUGGCCAAGGGCAAGUUCCCCCAGACGGCCACAGAGUGGGCCGAGAUCCUGGCGCUGCAGAAGCAAUUCCACAGCGUGGAGGUGCACAAGUGGAGGCAGAUCCUGCGGGCCUCCGUGGAGCUCCUGGAUGAGGUAGGAGGCGCCGCUCGGGCAGGGCUCGGAGCUGCAGGGCUGCAGGGUCCUGUGUUGAUUCUCCACCAUGCGGCAGGCACUUUCCCUCUCCGAGUCUCAGUGUCCUCUGUAAAAUGAGGAAGCCACUCAGAGUCCCCACCCCACAGCAUUGCAUGGGAAAGCAUGGAAGCAUGGAUGGAAGAAAGAACUGAUUGGCUCACGUCCUGGAGAAAAGUCCAGAGGCGUCUCACGUUAGGCACGGCCGGGUUCAGUCACUCAAUGGCAGUAAGAGUCAGUCUCU